rnacentral:rRNA from 1 species
CCCUUAGAUGUUCUGGGCCGCACGCGCGCUACACUGACUGGUGCAACAAGUGUCGCUCCUUGGCCGAUAGGCCUGGGCAAUCUUUGAACGCCAGUCGUGAUGGGGAUAGAUUCUUGCAAUUUUUGAUCUUCAACGAGGAAUUCCUAGUAAACGCGAGUCAUCAACUCGCAUUGACUACGUCCCUGCCCUUUGUACACACCGCCCGUCGCACCUACCGAUUGAAUGGUCCGGUGAACCCUCCGGAUCGGCUCGCGCCAACGCAAGUUGAGCAAAGGCCGAGAAGUUGGGUAAACCUUACCAUUUAGAGGAAGGUGAAGUCGUAACA